AACGAACGCUGGCGGCAUGCCUAACACAUGUAAGUCGAACGAGACCUUCGGGUCUAGUGGCGCACGGGUGCGUAACGCGUGGGAACCUGCCCUUAGGUUCGGAAUAACUCCCCGAAAGGGGUGCUAAUACCGGAUAAUGUCUUCGGACCUAAGAUUUAUCGCCUUUGGAUGGGCCCGCGUUGGAUUAGCUAGUUGGUAGGGUAAAAGCCUACCAAGGCGACGAUCCAUAGCUGGUCUGAGAGGAUGAUCAGCCACACUGGGACUGAGACACGGCCCAGACUCCUACGGGAGGCAGCAGUGGGGAAUAUUGGACAAUGGGCGAAAGCCUGAUCCAGCAAUGCCGCGUGAGUGAUGAAGGCCUUAGGGUUGUAAAGCUCUUUUACCCGGGAUGAUAAUGACAGUACCGGGAGAAUAAGCUCCGGCUAACUCCGUG
rnacentral:rRNA from 1 species